rnacentral:lncRNA from 1 species
GGCGAUUUUUUUAUAAAGUGGCGAUAUAGUGUGGGCCGAUUGGCAAGUGGGGCGAGUUGACAUUGUUUGAUAUCUACUCAUCGUGUUCGGGGGGUCAUAAAGGGUAUACAUCAUAUAGUAAUAUAUAAAGGUAUAUUAAUAAUGGUUGUGUGGUGUUUCUAAACUCGAUUUUGUGAAUUGUAGACGGUUUUUCGUCUAAUUAAAA